UACAGAGGGUGCGAGCGUUAAUCGGAAUUACUGGGCGUAAAGCGCACGUAGGCGGCUUUGUAAGUCGGAUGUGAAAUCCCCGGGCUCAACCUGGGAACUGCACCCGAAACUACAUUGCUAGAGUAUGGGAGAGGGAGGCGGAAUUUCCGGUGUAGCAGUGAAAUGCGUAGAUAUCGGAAGGAACAUCAGUGGCGAAGGCGGCCUCCUGGACCAAUACUGACGCUCAGGUGCGAAAGCGUGGGGAGCAAACAGG
rnacentral:rRNA from 3 species